AUAAAUACAGUGAAAAGAAGUAGUAGAUGAUCAAAACAUAAGUAGAGAGCUUUUGGUUGGUGAAAAAAAGUUAUGUUUGAUGAUUGAAUUCCUCUUGGAGUAGAGUAUUGAAGUAAGUAGAUAUCUCCGGUAACACCCGUUAACGUGUAUGAGUAUGUAGGUACUUAGUAAGGUUAUUAUUGUGAAAUAAUAACGAAGUAAGGUGGUAACGCGAUGGUCUCUUUCGUCCUUAUG
rnacentral:ncRNA from 1 species